GGCACAGUGGUUGAAACAUUUGGCUGCUAACCAAAAGGUUGGUGGUUUAAACCCACCAGCUGCUC
rnacentral:tRNA from 1 species